CUACUGUGGUCAAGGUUUUAGAAUAUCACAUCAACUGGUUUGAAGCUACGGGGUUUUCAGAUAAACAGGGUUCCUGGUUUUACGCGUUAUUAGCCAGUUUACAGAAGCCCCUUUCACCAGAAGCCUGUGCUCUCAUUAGAUCCUUGGCUCGGAGUUGUGGAAAUCUGAGAGCAACUUUAGAAAGCCCCGAGGAUCCUCGCUUAGUUCCAUUAAAUCUCUUCAUCUGCCUCGUAUCUCGUUAUUUCGACCAAUCAGAUUUAGGGGAUCCAGUCACAUGAUUUAGCAGAGAAAAACAUGCCAAACCCCUCCGCUGAAGUAAUUCAAAGUGUACAGUGAACAACAACUACAUCCACAUGUUUGUUAUGUGAGGAUAAUCAUAUGUUUUAACCUAAUCCAUCUAAGUUAGGAGGAACUACAAUGUUUUAGCCCUCUAUAAGGACUAGAGAGAGACCGGCAGUGAAUAUUGUCACUUC